rnacentral:rRNA from 1 species
GUCGAACGGUAGCACAGAGAGCUUGCUCUCGGGUGACGAGUGGCGGACGGGUGAGUAAUGUCUGGGAAACUGCCUGAUGGAGGGGGAUAACUACUGGAAACGGUAGCUAAUACCGCAUAACGUCGCAAGACCAAAGAGGGGGACCUUCGGGCCUCUUGCCAUCAGAUGUGCCCAGAUGGGAUUAGCUAGUAGGUGGGGUAACGGCUCACCUAGGCGACGAUCCCUAGCUGGUCUGAGAGGAUGACCAGCCACACUGGAACUGAGACACGGUCCAGACUCCUACGGGAGGCAGCAGUGGGGAAUAUUGCACAAUGGGCGCAAGCCUGAUGCAGCCAUGCCGCGUGUAUGAAGAAGGCCUUCGGGUUGUAAAGUACUUUCAGCGGGGAGGAAGGUGUUGCGGUUAAUAACCGCAGCAAUUGACGUUACCCGCAGAAGAAGCACCGGCUAACUCCGUGCCAGCAGCCGCGGUAAUACGGAGGGUGCAAGCGUUAAUCGGAAUUACUGGGCGUAAAGCGCACGCAGGCGGUCUGUCAAGUCGGAUGUGAAAUCCCCGGGCUCAACCUGGGAACUGCAUUCGAAACUGGCAGGCUAGAGUCUUGUAGAGGGGGGUAGAAUUCC